rnacentral:rRNA from 1 species
UGUCGGAUUAGCUAGUUGGCCGGGGUAAAGGGACCCGACCAAGGCAACGAUCCGGUAGCGGGGUCUGAGAGGAUGAUCCGCCACACUGGGACUGAGGACACGGCCCAGACUCCUACGGGAGGCAGCAGUGGGGAAUUUGGACAAUGGGCGCAAGCCUGAUCCAGCCAUGCCGCGUGAGUGAAGAAGGCCUUCGGGUUGUAAAGCUCUUUCGGCUGGGAAGAAAUCGCAUCUCCUAAUACGGGGUGUGGAUGACGGUACCAGCAUAGAAGCACCGGCUAACUACGUGCCAGCAGCCGCGGUAAUACGUAGGGUGCGAGCGUUAAUCGGAAUUACUGGGCGUAAAGCGUGCGCAGGCGGUUUCGUAAGACAGAGGUGAAAUCCCCGGGCUCAACCUGGGAACUGCCUUUGUGACUGCGAGGCUAGAGUAUGGCAGAGGGGGGUGGAAUUCCACGUGUAGCAGUGAAAUGCGUAGAGAUGUGGAGGAACACCGAU